UUACUGAGUUUACGCUCUAUAACCCUUUGUGAACAUACCUAUAACUGUUGCUUCGGCGGGUAGGGUCUCCGCGACCCUCCCGGCCUCCCGCCCCCGGGCGGGUCGGCGCCCGCCGGAGGAUAACCAAACUCUGAUUUAACGACGUUUCUUCUGAGUGGUACAAGCAAAUAAUCAAAACUUUUAACAACGGAUCUCUUGGUUCUGGCAUCGAUGAAGAACGCAGCGAAAUGCGAUAAGUAAUGUGAAUUGCAGAAUUCAGUGAAUCAUCGAAUCUUUGAACGCACAUUGCGCCCGCCAGCAUUCUGGCGGGCAUGCCUGUUCGAGCGUCAUUUCAACCCUCAAGCUCUGCUUGGUGUUGGGGCCCUACAGCUGAUGUAGGCCCUCAAAGGUAGUGGCGGACCCUCCCGGAGCCUCCUUUGCGUAGUAACUUUACGUCUCGCACUGGGAUCCGGAGGGACUCUUGCCGUAAAACCCCCAAUUUUCCAAAGGUUGACCUCGGAUCAGGUAGGAAUACCCGCUGAACUUAAGCAUAUCAAUAAGCGGAGGAAAAGAAACCAACAGGGAUUGCCUCAGUAACGGCGAGUGAAGCGGCAACAGCUCAAAUUUGAAAUCUGGCC
rnacentral:rRNA from 1 species